UACGGAAGGCAGCAGUGGGGAAUAUUGCACAAUGGGCGAAAGCCUGAUGCAGCUAUGCCGCGUGUAUGAAGAAGGCCUUAGGGUUGUAAAGUACUUUCAUCGGGGAGGAAAAACAAAACUAAUAAUUUUAUUUCUUGACGUUACCCGAAAAAGAAGCACCGGCUAACUCCGUGCCAGCAGCCGCGGUAAUACGGAGGGUGCUAGCGUUAAUCAGAAUUACUGGGCGUAAAGAGCACGUAGGUGGUUUUUUUAAAGUCAGAUGUGAAAUCCCUGGGCUUAACCUAGGAACUGCAUUUUGAAACUGAAAUACUAGAGUAUCGUAGAGGGAGGUAGAAUUCUAGGUGUAGCGGUGAAAUGCGUAGAUAUCUGGAGGAAUACCUGUGGCGAAAGCGGCCUCCUAAACGAAUACUGACACUGAGGUGCGAAAGC
rnacentral:rRNA from 1 species